CUAAUCAACAUUACUCUCGCCACGACCAAACAGCUCUUCAACUCGUGUAACUGACCUGGGAAAGACCUUAAGUGCAAUCAGGUCGAUCUGUACGUCUGCUAUCUAUUCUGUCAUGGGAAUGCAUCACCUUGUUUAUUUUUCUGCUUUUUUAUAGUUUUGUAAAAUCGUUCAUUAAGAUCAGAAGAACAAGUUAUUUCCAGUUCAA